GAUAACAAGAUGAAAUUGCUUUGGUAUCGGCCUUAAUUCCUGACCUUGGAGGCUCCUCGCGUAAAGCUAGAUAAGAGUAAAGGCGGCGACUCGGAAUGAGCUGAACAUAAUAACCAUUCCAGUAAUAACCAUCUUCCCAUCUUACAUCACCUGGCAAGGAAUUAUUUACCUUUUUAUAAUGUGACCUUCCAAUGAAUGGCUGUUAUUCAGAAAGAAGUAAAACAUGAUUGUAAUAUUGGAACAUAUAUCUGGGCAAGGAGAGCAGCUUGAGUUGGUCACCAGCUGCAUGCAGAAAGCGCCAGACCACGGCAGAGGAAGGGCACAGCAAGAGGGGCGGGAACAGCCGUACCAGCCAGGAUGUCUUCCGAGUUUGCUAAAACAUUGCAAGUCAAAGGGAGGAAGGAGUCUUGCCAUGACAGAGCCAGAUGGAGGAACAUGAAAGUUCUUCCGACAGCCUGCCACUGAACUGCCAUAAAGUCCAGUCAGCAGGAACAUAGGAAUGGGCAUACACAACACUGCAGGUGCUGCAGCACAACAUGAAGUCUACAACAUCUUGUACACAUUAAAAUGGCAGUGAAUAUGUUAAGGUGGGUGUUUUUACAGUCAAUGCAACACACAGCUCUAGUAUAAAGCAGUGAGCAACUUUAGAUAGAACCUAAGAUUAAGAUUUGGACCCUAUUGUGGUUCACUACAUGAAAUACUGCUGUACUUAUAAGUUGAAGUAAAUAAAAUCCUCCUUGCACCUCAUGAGGUGUAUGAGAGCUCACCACCCCCACCAUAUAAAAUCUUUCAUAAUUCACAAGUAAAAUGUAUUAAUUGUAUAAAAAUGUUACUUGAUUAUAUAAUGCCUAACAUAAUAGCCAAAUUAUUUUUAUGAGAAUAGUGAACCUUUUAUCACACAUUGACAUAAUGAAGAGUAAAGUAUUUCUCAGAGUUUGCUGGUGAUGAUGGACUGCUGGUCAAGUGCUUCCUUCAUGAUUUUGAGAACAAGGUCAACAUUGUCUGAGGUGCAGUUGUAGCCCAUGAGUCCCACGCGCCACACUAAGCCGGCACUGGGCCCCAGCCCCCCACUGAUCUCCACUCGGUACCUAGGAAAGUUUGAGAGGACAUUGUUUAAAGCAGAAAUGUGGCAGUAGUACUAUUAAAAGUAAUUAAUGCAGAUGCUAUUAAGCUUGACACACAGGUAAUUAUUAAUAUUUAAAUGAAUAUAUAUAAUGCUUUACAGUUGGCACAUAUCAAUGUGAUUGAGGUGAGCUGUGUGUUGUCAAUGUUUGGCAAUGUAUAAAUUUUAAAUUAUGAGCCUAUGAGUACAAAACAUAACGUUUGUGAUUCAAAUAAAACUGCCUAUAGCACA